GAUGAACGCUGGCGGCGUGCCUAAUACAUGCAAGUCGAGCGAACGGACGAGAAUAUUCCUGCUGGGAUGUUAGCGGCGGACGGGGGAGUAAUACGUGGAUACCCUACCUAUAAGACUGGCAUAAGGUCGGGAAACCUGAGCUAAUAUCGGAUGAUAUUUUGAACCGCAGGGUUCGAAAGUGAUAGACGGUCUUGCUGUCACGUAUACAUGGAUCCGCGCUGCAUUAGCUAGUUGGUAAGGUAACGGCUUACCAAAGCAACGAUGCAUAGACGGCCUGAGAGGGUGAUCGGCCACACUGGAACUGAGACACGGUCCAGACUCCUACGGGAGGCAGCAGUAGGGAAUAUUCCGCAAUGGGCGCAAGCCUGACCGAGCAACGCCGCGUGAGUGAUGAAGGUCUUCGGAUCGUAAAACUCUGUUAUUCGGGAAGAACAUAUGUGUACGUAACUGUGCACAUCUUGACGGUACCUAAUCAGAAAGCCACGGCUAACUACGUG
rnacentral:rRNA from 1 species